UACGUAGGGGGCAAGCGUUGUCCGGAUUUAUUGGGCGUAAAGAGCGUGUAGGCGGCUAUACAGGUCCGCUGUGAAACUCGAGGCUCAACCUCGAGACGUCGGUGGAAACCGUAUGGCUAGAGUCCGGAAGAGGAGAGUGGAAUUCCUGGUGUAGCGGUGAAAUGCGCAGAUAUCAGGAGGAACACCUAAGGCGAAGGCAGCUCGCUGGACGGUACUGACGCUGAGGUGCGAGAGCGUGGGAGCGAACCGG
rnacentral:rRNA from 1 species